AGUGGGGAAUAUUGGACAAUGGGCGCAAGCCUGAUCCAGCAAUGCCGCGUGAGUGAAGAAGGCCUUCGGGUUGUAAAGCUCUUUUGCCCGGGAAGAUAAUGACUGUACCGGGAGAAUAAGCCCCGGCUAACUCCGUGCCAGCAGCCGCGGUAAUACGGAGGGGGCUAGCGUUGUUCGGAAUUACUGGGCGUAAAGCGCACGUAGGCGGUUUUUCAAGUCAGAGGUGAAAGCCCGGGGCUCAACUCCGGAAUUGCCUUUGAAACUGGGAGACUUGAUCACGGGAGAGGUGAGUGGAAUUCCGAGUGUAGAGGUGAAAUUCGUAGAUAUUCGGAAGAACACCAGUGGCGAAGGCGGCUCACUGGACCGUUGAUGACGCUGAGGUGCGAAAGCGUGGGGAGCAAA
rnacentral:rRNA from 1 species